GUACAAAUUGAGGUUUCCCUUCAAAACAUUCCCAUCGGGAUCCGUGGGUGGCGCAGCGGUUUGGCGCCUGCCUUUGGCCCAGGGCGCGAUCCUGGACACCCGGGAUCGAAUCCCACGUCGGGCUCCCGGUGCAUGGAGCCUGCUUCUCCCUCUGCCUGUGUCUCUGCCUCUCUCUCUCUCUGUGACUAUCAUAAAUAAAUAAAAAUUAAAAAAUAAAAUCUUUAAAAAAAGAAAAAACAUUCCCAUCAUUUCGGCCUACAGGAAGGAUUAUGGCUUUUAACCAAAGUCUGUCUGCCUUUCUCCAGCAUUAACAUUGACAUGUAAGAACACCCUCCUUCAUCAGGCCCUCAACACACACACAUACACACACACCCGUGUAAACAGAUGCGAGUUCUCCGACAUUCCUUCAGCAAAUUACCACUAAAGCCACUCGCUGACAUUUCCCUGCAAAUAAUGUACCUACCACUACCGAGUUUUCACUCUUGAACUAGUUUCAAACAGGAUGGUGGUGUUCUUUCCUGGCCACCACUUUAACCCAGAAGGAGACCAUCCUCUGACUUCUGAGGCCUGUGCCAGUCAGAUACAGUGCAGUGGUUUCGGGUUGGAGCUGCACCGUCUGUUUAAAAACUCCCUUUUAUGAAAAUAAAAUCUUUUAAGAAUAUAUCACCGAAAAUAAAAACUCUUUUAUAUAUUUCGCUUUCAUUUUGAAAGGAGACAAGAUUGUGCUAUUUUUCUGCACAAACGUCACUUGUUGAGCCUUGAGAGCUUCAUGCAAUGUGUACUAUGGAAAAUAAACUAAACUGCAAACAACACGUUCUCAUCACACUCACGGAAGUGUGUCUUAGCGGUGCCACGACGCCGGCACCAAGUGUGACCACCACGUGAGCAAGUGCAUUCCGCCGGCUCAAGGUAGUGUGAUUUUCAAGGAGCAAGAGUAUAAAUGUACUUAAUGCCGCUGAGUGAUGCCACACUUCAGUAAACAGAUAGCACCAUGUACGUGUGUGCGCGUGUAGGAGCCUGCAUCGCCAGCGCAUUUUACAGCUCCCCGCAGCACCCGGACGGAGCUCUGCGGACUGCGGCUACUCUUCCUUUGCGGGCACUCCCCGCGGCACCUAAUCGUCCAGAACGAGCCCGCUUUGUUUGCGCAAUUGGGAGAAAGGACGCGGCGCCGAAGCCAGGACCCCCGGCUGCGUGCCCGCGGCUGCGAGGCGCUUCCAGGUGGUGGGAAGGCCCGGCUGCCCCCCACCCCGCCCCGGGGAGGAACAGGAUCCCAAACCAGGGGGCAAAGCACGGAGCACGAGCUUGUGGCUGA
rnacentral:lncRNA from 1 species